GCCGAUGUAGCUCAGUUGGUAGAGCAACACCAUGGUAAGGUGUAGGCCCGCGGUUCAAGUCCGCGCAUCGGCU
rnacentral:tRNA from 1 species